CUUAACUUUUCAUUUUUUUUACUCGGGUUCUCUUUCUCUCUCUUUCCACCAUUCUUUCAUUUUCUCUCUACCCCCUUUCUCUUUUUCCUUCAAACCCUGACAGGUUCAUGACUAUCACGAUGCUUCACGACACUGCAAGGCAAUCUCCUCUGCAAAUUAAUUCGGCAUGUUAAGAAUUUGCUCAAUGAUUAUGGUCUUACGCAAAGGUUGCAACUGGAACUAAUAUAUUCUCAGCUGCAUCCAAUGUUUCUCUACAAAAAGCUCGCACAUGGGACGUAUGUGUUGAAUCCAAGUUCUCCGCUACCCUUGUCAAAGACAUCUUCAAGGACAAGAAUGUUGUGAUCUUUACUCUCCCAGUUUCAUAGCUAUGCAAAUCACGACGUUGAGAAGGUGAUGGCGGUUGAAGAAAUUGAUUCAAGGGAACUGAGACAGCGAACGGUAGCCGAAUUCCCUUAAGAUUUUGGAUCUAUGAGUUUUUAGGAAGGAGAAGUGAUUGAUGAUGCGAUUCGGCUGAUGUAUUCGCCGGAUCUGAGAUUCAGUUUUCUCUUGAUAAUUCCAUUAACAAACUCAGGUUUCAUUCACCUAAGUAUCCCUGUCAGCAUCCUGGAAUGUCUUUUAUCCAUCUCCAACAUAUUCACCAGCCCUUUGCUCAGAUAGGGCGUUUGAGGGUGAACCAUAACAAUCAUAUCAGCUGGAACAACGAGGUUGCACUAAAUCCUUCGUAUCAGGUGUAUGAGGUUGCACCAAAUAUGUCAUCUCAUUUGUACUCUUAGGCUAAGCAGUGUGAGGUUGAACCAAAUCAAUCACCACAGUUUGAUCUUUCGGCGGUACAGUUUGAGGGUGAACCAUAACAUUUGUAUCAGUUGGAUCAAUGUGAACAAAUAUCAGUUGAUCUAUUAGACGAAACUGUGUGAUGUGUGAGGUUGCAUCCCCUCGGUUCCAUCUCUUGAUUGUGGUUGCAACUACCGCCACCGUAAAAAGCCACACACAAGCAAUUGAGUUACAUCGCGAUUCUGCGCUAUAUCUGCAUGGUUGGCAGCCGAGUUUCAAGGUGACAAAGAAUACUAACAAACUUUCUCGAUGUAAUCAAGGUGACACAGUUUUUUAUCUGCUAUUAUCUUCAAAUAUGAUUGUUACUGUUAGAAUUCUACAGCAUCAUUUUUUUAAAUAAUUGUUUGCAUUGAUGGCUUAAUAUCCUUUACUGUCAAUGUCAAUAACCUUUUUGGUUUAUGCUUUUAUUGAUAAUUAUCUAUUUAUUCUAUAUUUACCGUCAAUUAAAGGAAGGGAAGAUAUUGGAUUGUUAUGGUAGUAAUCCACUUAAUUAUUGUUAAUAUGUAAUUAGCUCAUUAACCAACAACGAAAGUUUCAAGUUAUUAAAUUAGCACAUUAUGCUUUAAGAUUCUAUCUUAUAUAUAAGGCACACUCCUUCAUCUAUA